AUGAACGCUGGCGGCGUGCCUAAUACAUGCCAGUCGAGCGAACAGACGAGGAGCUUGCUCCUCUGACGUUAGCGGCGGACGGGUGAGUAACACGUGGAUAACCUACCUAUAAGACUGGGAUAACUUCGGGAAACCGGAGCUAAUACCGGAUAAUAUAUUGAACCGCAUGGUUCAAUAGUGAAAGACGGUUUUGCUGUCACUUAUAGAUGGAUCCGCGCCGCAUUAGCUAGUUGGUAAGGUAACGGCUUACCAAGGCGACGAUGCGUAGCCGGCCUGAGAGGGAGAUCGGCCACACUGGAACUGAGACACGGUCCAAACUCCUACGGGAGGCAGCAGUAGGGAAUCUUCCGCAAUGGGCGAAAGCCUGACGGAGCAACGCCGCGUGAGUGAUGAAGGUCUUCGGAUCGUAAAACUCUGUUAUUAGGGAAGAACAAAUGUGUAAGUAACUAUGCACGUCUUGACGGUACCUAAUCAGAAAGCCACGGCUAACUACGUG
rnacentral:rRNA from 1 species